UACGUAGGGUGCGAGCGUUGUCCGGAAUUACUGGGCGUAAAGAGCUCGUAGGUGGUUUGUCGCGUUGUUCGUGAAAUUCCCUGGCUUAACUGGGGGCGUGCGGGCGAUACGGGCAGACUGGAGUACUGCAGGGGAGACUGGAAUUCCUGGUGUAGCGGUGGGGUGCGCAGAUAUCAGGAGGAACACCGGUGGCGAAGGCGGGUCUCUGGGCAGUAACUGACGCUGAGGAGCGAAAGCGUGGGGAGCGAACAGG
rnacentral:rRNA from 1 species